CUCAAACAGAAAGUGGAGAAAAUAACUUUCCUUCAUGGCAGCUAAGUCCUAUACAUACAGUGCACGAAUUCCAUGCACUCCACGGGUGAAAGAAAAAUGAUGACAAAGAAAAUUCUACUUCUUAGCAGAACCGUGAGAAAGAAUGGGGAAGAGUCCAUCAAAUGGACUGUACAAGGAAUCAGAAUGGCUUUGCAGUUCUCAAUCGCAACCCUGAAGUCAAGAUGACUGAAGAAAUACCUCAAAAUUCAAAAGAAUAAUAAUUUCUAAAAUAGAAUAUUAUACUGAACCAAAUUAUCUGUCAAGUAAAGACAUUUCAGAAAUACAUUCUAAAAGUAUAUAUUCCACCCACUCACUCACGAAAAGCUACUAACGGGUAUAUACUAAUAAAAUAAGAAAGGCUUGAGACCUGCAAAGCAAGCCGGCGACCUUAAAAGGAAACAGAAUGUAGCCCUCUCUCUCACUACAUUGCUAUUGGGUAUUCAAUAUCAGUCCUGCUGGAUACCCUGAUUGCUGAGAGGGCCUCAGUCAGAACUUUGUAGGCUGACUUCUCCAAGAAGGCACUCUUGGAAACGGUAACGGUGCCUGAAGCCAAUGAAUCAGAGACUGCUCACUUUAUCUUCUCCCGGGAGUCUUCAUCUAAAGGUAAUAGAUUUGUGCUCACUGCUCAGUUUUUCCACACCAAGCAAUAUACUGUUUAGAGAAAACACAUAGAAAGUAAAUCAUUUUUUAAAGCCAAGAAAUGAGUCAGGCAAAAGACAGUGGCUACCUGGAAAAGAGAGGACAGGAUGAGAGCAUCCUGAGAGAUGCAUUUGGAGAAGGACCUAACCCUCGGUAGGCACACAAGCCUUUUGAUAAUUUAAAUAUAUGUAUGGUGUGUGCAUAUGUAUGUUGAUAUGGUUUUGCUCUGUAUCCCCACUCAAAUCUCAUGCCGAAUUGUAGUCCCCACGUGAAGGUGGGCCCUGGUGGGAGAUGAUUGGAUCAAGAGGGUGGUUUCACCCUUGCUAUUCUCAUAAUGAGUGGGUUCUCAUUGAGAUUUGAUGGUCUAAAAGUGUUUAGCUUUCUUAGCUUUCUCUCUCCUGCCACCACGUGAAUAAGGCUUACAUUUUGCCUUUCAUCAUGAUUGUAAGUUUCCUGAGGCUUCUCAGUCAUGCAUUCUGUUAAGCAUGUAGAACUGAGUCAAAACUUUUCUUCAUAAAUUACCCAGUCUCAGGUAGUUCUUUAUAGCAGUGUAAGUAUGGACUAAUGCAUAUGAGUGUAUGUAGGUAUAUAUGUGUAUUAUACUUUUCUAUAAGUUAAAUUUUACAACAUUAAAACAAGUGGAAAUCAUUUAUAAUCCAAUCACACAUAUAAUCCUUUUUAUCACAAUAGUGUUUCUAUGCAUGUUUGUGACAUUUUUAAUCCAUUUUUUAAAUUUAACAGCAUAUUGUGGACAUUUUUGCAAAACAUAUCCAUCUUUUUUAAUGCAUUAUGUGAAUGUUUCAAAACUUAUUCAACUAUUCUCAGUGAGCAACUUUCCAUCUUGAAAUUUCCCUUUCUAAAAUGGCAACAAUGAUAUCUGUUCCUUUUCCCUGUGCUCAAGAAUGAAGUAACAACCCAAAAGACAAGACUGCAGAGCACUGAGAACUUGCUGGAAUGCUAGCACUCCACAGAUGGCUCUGUUCCAUUCAUUGAGAAGAUAGUUUCUUUAAAUUGUUAUAUCUAUACAUUUCUGUAUCCCACUGUUUUCAAAGAGUCAAGAAUGUAUAAUCCCAAUAAUAAAC
rnacentral:lncRNA from 10 species